AUACGGAGGAUCCGAGCGUUAUCCGGAUUUAUUGGGUUUAAAGGGUGCGCAGGCGGGAGAUUAAGUCGGCGGUGAAAUUUUGCAGCUCAACUGUAAAAGUGCCUUUGAAACUGGUUUCCUUGAGUGUAGAUGAAGUAGGCGGAAUUUGUGGUGUAGCGGGGAAAUGCAUAGAUAUCACGAGGAACUCCGAUUGCGCAGGCAGCUUACUAAACUACUACUGACGCUCAGGCACGAAGGCGUGGGGAUCAAACAGGAUUAGAUACCCUGGUAGUCCACGCAGUAAACGAUGAUUACUAGCUGUUUGCGAUACAAUGUAAGCGGCUGAGCGAAAGCGUUAAGUAAUCCACCUGGGGAGUACGUUCGCAAGAAUGAAACUCAAAUGAAUUGGCGGGG
rnacentral:rRNA from 1 species